CCUACGGGAGGCAGCAGUGGGGAAUAUUGCACAAUGGGCGAAAGCCUGAUGCAGCAACGCCGCGUGAGGGAUGACGGCCUUCGGGUUGUAAACCUCUUUUAGUAGGGAAGAAGCGAAAAGUGACGGUACCUGCAGAAAAAGCACCGGCUAACUACGUGCCAGCAGCCGCGGUAAUACGUAGGGUGCAAGCGUUGUCCGGAAUUAUUGGGCGUAAAGAGCUCGUAGGCGGUUUGUCGCGUCUGCUGUGAAAUCCCGAGGCUCAACCUCGGGCUUGCAGUGGGUACGGGCAGACUAGAGUGCGGUAGGGGAGAUUGGAAUUCCUGGUGUAGCGGUGGAAUGCGCAGAUAUCAGGAGGAACACCGAUGGCGAAGGCAGAUCUCUGGGCCGUAACUGACGCUGAGGAGCGAAAGCAUGGGGAGCGAACAGGAUUAGAUACCCUGGUAGUCCAUGCCGUAAACGUUGGGCGCUAGAUGUAGGGACCUUUCCACGGUUUCUGUGUCGUAGCUAACGCAUUAAGCGCCCCGCCUGGGGGAGGUACGGCCGCGACGGACGUAAACGUAACGUAAAGAAAGUUAGUUAGGUCGUUGAGACGUUGCCGACGGACGACGACGAGGGGAGGAGG
rnacentral:rRNA from 1 species